GACGAACGCUGGCGGCGUGCUUAACACAUGCAAGUCGAACGGAAAGGCCCUGCUUGCAGGGUACUCGAGUGGCGAACGGGUGAGUAACACGUGGGUGAUCUGCCCUGCACUUCGGGAUAAGCCUGGGAAACUGGGUCUAAUACCGGACAGGAGCCAUUUUUAGUGUGAUGGUUGGAAAGUUUUUUCGGUGUAGGAUGAGCUCGCGGCCUAUCAGCUUGUUGGUGGGGUAAUGGCCUAACAAGGCGGCGACGGGUAGCCGGCCUGGGAGGGUGGGCGGCCACAUUGAGACUGGGAUUCGGACAAGGCUCCGACGGGUAGCAGCAGUGGGGGAGGUUGCUCAAUGAGCGCGAGCCUGAUGCAGCGACGCCGCGGGGGGGAUGACGGCCUUCGGGUUGGAAACGCAUUUCGCUAGGGACGAAGCUGUUUAUGACGGUACCUAGAUAAGAAGCACCGGCUAACUACGUG
rnacentral:rRNA from 1 species